rnacentral:rRNA from 1 species
GAUCAUGGCUCAGGACGAACGCUGGCGGCGUGCUUAACACAUGCAAGUCGAACGAGAAUCUACUGAAAGAGUUUUCGGACAAUGGAUGUAGAGGAAAGUGGCGGACGGGUGAGUAACGCGUGAGGAACCUGCCUUGAAGAGGGGGACAACAGUUGGAAACGACUGCUAAUACCGCAUGACGCAUAGGGGUCGCAUGAUCUUUAUGCCAAAGAUUUAUCACUUCAAGAUGGCCUCGCG